rnacentral:rRNA from 1 species
AGUGAACGCUGGCGGUAGGCCUAACACAUGCAAGUCGAACGGCAGCACAGUAAGAGCUUGCUCUUACGGGUGGCGAGUGGCGGACGGGUGAGGAAUACAUCGGAAUCUACUUUUUCGUGGGGGAUAACGUAGGGAAACUUACGCUAAUACCGCAUACGACCUACGGGUGAAAGCAGGGGAUCUUCGGACCUUGCGCGAUUGAAUGAGCCGAUGUCGGAUUAGCUAGUUGGCGGGGUAAAGGCCCACCAAGGCGACGAUCCGUAGCUGGUCUGAGAGGAUGAACAGCCACACUGGAACUUAGACACGGUCCAGACUCCUACGGGAGGCAGGAGGUGGGAAUAUUGGACAAUGGGCGCAAACCUGAUCCAGCCAUACCGCGGUGGUGAAGAAGGCCCUCGGGUUGUAAAGCCCUUUUGUUGGGAAAGAAAAGCAGCAGGUUAAUACCCCGCUGUUCUGACGGUACCCAAAGAAUAAGCACCGGCUAACUUCGUG